AUGCUCGCUUUGGCAGCACAUAUACUAAAAUUGGAACGAUACAGAGAUUAGCAUGGCCCCUGUGCAAGGAUGGCACACAAAUUCGUAGAGCAUUCCAUAUUAAA